rnacentral:rRNA from 1 species
GGGGGUAAAAUUAAUAAAUAUAAUAAAAAUAAUAAAAAAAAUUUUAGUUAAAAAUAUAUAAUGGGGGUUAAAGUAUUUUUAAUGGAAAAAAUUAAUAGAUUUAUAGUAUAAUAGUAUUGUGAAAGAAAUUUUAAAUAAAUUAAAUAUAAAAAUUAAAAUAAAGUAAAUUUAAAUUAUUGUAUCUUGUGUAUCAGAGUUUAUUAAAUAAAAAUUUUUAUUUAAAAAAUUCUCGAAUUUAAAAGAGUUAAUUAAUUAAAAAAGUUAAUGUUGAAUAAUUAUUUUAAAUAAUUAAUUAGAAAUGAAAUGUUAAUCGUUUUUAAAUAUAUCUAGUUUUUUUAGAAAAAAAUUUAAUUUUGAAAUUAAAUAAUUUUAUAAUUAAUUAAUUAAUUAUGGAAAAUUUAAAAUUUAAUAUAUUAAGGGAUAAGCUUUAAAUUAAAAAAUUAUAAUUAUUGAUUAUUAAUUAAAAUUUUUAAAAUUUAUAUUGUUUAGAAAUUAUAAUUUAUUAUAAAAAAUUUUAAUUAAAUUAAAAUUUAAAAAUAAAAUUUAAUUUUUUAUAAAAAAAUUAUUUUUAAUAAUAAAGAAUUAGAAAUAAUGAUAAAGUUAGUAUAUUAUAAAUUAAAAAUUAUAAAUUUAAUAAAAAUUAAAUUAAAGGAAUUCGGCAAAAAUUUAUAUUCACUUGUUUAUCAAAAACAUGUCUUUUUGGUUAUAAUUUAAAGUCUGAUCUGCCCACUGAUAAUAAUUAAAGGGCUGCAGUAUAUUGACUGUACAAAGGUAGCAUAAUCAUUAGUCUUUUAAUUGAAGACUUGUAUGAAAGAUUUAAUGAAAUAUAAGCUGUCUCUAAUUUAUUAAUAAAAUUUAAUAUUUUAGUUAAAAAGCUAAAAUAAAAUUAAAAGACGAGAAGACCCUAUAGAGUUUUAUAUUUAAUUUAAUUAAAAUAAAAUAUAAAAUUAAGUUAUUUAAAUUAAAUUAAUUAUUAUAUUGGGGUGAUAAAAAAAUUAAAAAAACUUUUUUUUUUAUUAAACAUAAAUAAAUGAUUAAAUGAUCCAUAAUUUAUGAUUAUAAGAAAAAAUUACCUUAGGGAUAACAGCGUAAUAUUUUUUUUUAGUACGUAUAAGAAAGAAAGUUUGCGACCUCGAUGUUGGAUUAAGAUAAAAGUUAAAUGCAAAAGUUUAAAAUUUUGAUCUGUUCGAUCAUUAAAAUCUUACAUGAUCUGAGUUCAAACCGGUGUAAGCCAGGUGGGUUACUAUCUUUAAUAAAUUAUAAUAUUUUA